rnacentral:lncRNA from 1 species
AUGGCAGCUCACCAGAGUAACCUGGCACAUGAUAGGCCCCGUGGACCCAGCACCAGACCAGACGUGUGGUUACAGCUUCAGUCAGCAGAGGGAGUGUGGACACCUCUGUUGAAGGACACACAGGGUUACCCGUGACAGCUUGAGAACAGACUCUACGAGACUUCUUUUGUCUCCAGAAAAGGAGCCCAAGAAUUACCAGGCUGUAGCACUCUGGAUUCUUCACAGUCUGCAGAGCAUGGAUUUUGAAAUGUCAUGAGGAAGAGCUGCAGUAAUCAAAACAGGAAGUGCUCAAAGCAUAAAGAAUGAUUUUAGCGAAAAAUUAAGGUAAGGGUGCACUCUAGCUGCAUUGUAGAGCUUCAGUGAUAGAGAAAGUGAGGAAAAUCAGACAAAAAGAUGGUUGUGGUUAUUCAGACGUGUCUGCAUAUGGGUGAAUUUUUCUCCAAAGGUUUGGUGUGUUUCUGCACAACUAUACUGUGAAAAACAGGACUCAUCCUCUUCAGAUUGGUUUUAGUGGCUGCAUACCAAUUUGGGAUUUAAAUGCUGAAUUGGUAGAUGAUAUUAAGCAUAACACCAAAAUAAGCAUUCAGAACUUUCAUUGUCCCAAGGGAAAAUUGCUUGUGAAUCUUUUCUUGGUCUGACAGAGCAUGAAAGGAAAUGGUCCUGAAUUACUGGGUGACGCUGGAUUAGUUCUUUUUUUAGGGGGUUAAACUCUAGUUAAACCCAGGUGCUGUAUGAAAUGGGGAUUGUUCUUACCUAGCUGGCAU